GACGAACGCUGGCGGCGUGCCUAAUACAUGCAAGUUGAGCGCUGAAGGUUGGUACUUGUGCCCACUGGAUGAGCAGCGAACGGGUGAGUAACGCGUGGGGAAUCUGCCUUUGAGCGGGGGACAACAUUUGGAAACGAAUGCUAAUACCGCAUAAUACCUUUAAACACAAGUUUUAAGUUUGAAAGAUGCAAUUGCAUCACUCAAAGAUGAUCCCGCGUUGUAUUAGCUAGUUGGUGAGGUAAAGGCUCACCAAGGCGAUGAUACAUAGCCGACCUGAGAGGGUGAUCGGCCACAUUGGGACUGAGACACGGCCCAAACUCCUACGGGAGGCAGCAGGAGGGAAUCUUCGGCAAUGGGCGAAAGGCUGACCGAGCAACGCCGCGGGAGGGAAGAAGGUUUUCGGAUCGGAAAACUCUGUUGGUAGAGAAGAACGUUGGUGAGAGUGGAAAGCUCAUCAAGUGACGGUAACUACCCAGAAAGGGACGGCUAACUACGUG
rnacentral:rRNA from 1 species